GACGAACGCUGGCGGCGUGCUUAACACAUGCAAGUCGAACGGAAAGGCCCUUUCGGGGGUGCUCGAGUGGCGAACGGGUGAGUAACACGUGGGUGAUCUGCCCUGAGCUUUGGGAUAAGCCUGGGAAACUGGGUCUAAUACCGGAUAUGACCAGUGGGUGCAUGCUUGCUGGUGGAAAGCCUUGUGCGGUUUGGGAUGGGCCCGCGGCCUAUCAGCUUGUUGGUGGGGUAAUGGCCUACCAAGGCGACGACGGGUAGCCGACCUGAGAGGGUGGAUCGGCCACACUGGGACUGAGACACGGCCCAGACUCCUACGGGAGGCAGCAGUGGGGAAUAUUGCACAAAUAGGGGCGGCAAGCCUGAUGCAGCGACGCCGCGUGAGGGA
rnacentral:rRNA from 1 species